GGGCCGGGCUGAGGGGGAAGGAAGGAGGGAGGGAGGGAAAGAGGAGGCCGCGCGGGUCGCCUCACCGCCGCGCGGAACCGCCGCGCCCGCCCACGCACACUGCGGAGCCGGGAGCCCCGCCGCGCCCGCCUUUUAUAGGGCGGAGGGAGACGGGCUGAGGAGGAGGAGGUGAAGGUGGGGGGGGGAGUGUGCAGGGCGGGGGCGUGCUGUGGGCCCGCCGCGCAUGCGCCGCCGCUGCUUGCUAUUGACCAGACGGGGAGACGGGGUCAGACGCGGAGGGAAAGGGAGGGAGAGGGGGGGGGGGGGGAAAGCCCGGAGCCUGCGUCACGUGACCAGCCCAGGCGAGGGUGCCACGUGCGCUGCGGGCGGGGAGGAGCCAGGCGGGGCGGGGCGGGGCGAGAGAGAGCUCGCGCCCUUCCCGCGCUGCGCCGCCGCCGCCGCCGCCGCGUUGAGGGGGUGAGGAGAGCGGGUGGCGGGCCCCGCCCGGCGGCGGGUUAACGGCAGGGCCGGGCCGCCUCACUGACACAGGCGAGCCGUGUGUCACCGCCCGCUCACCCGCGUGGCAGAGAUUCUGUCACAAAACGCGGGGGGGAGAUCGCCUACCUCCCCCCCCCCCCCCCGCCCCCCCCUCCGGCGAGCCGGGCUGUGAGGGGAGCUUUUCCCGCCCGGAGGGCCGCCUCACCUCAGCCCGCUCCCCACCAGGCCCCCCCCUUGGGGUUCUGCAGCAGAGAGGCUGCUCCAAGGCUUCCCGCCGACGCCUGCUGCCUCACUAAGGAGAACAGGAAUGGCUGCCUCCUUCCCCGAGCCCCUUUUCCUCCCUCCGGUGCCGUGGUGGUUGAAGAGCCUGGUUUUGGGCUGGAAGAGCCUUUGGUGCGUGGCGGGGGCUUGCCCUGUGAGGCAUACACCGUGCCUUUGUUCAGCAGGCGAGACGGGACGUACCCGGUGCUCUGAUGGCGGCAAGUCAUAUCGCGGCAGAGAGACCACAAUACUAGGCCGCAGCUGGAGAAUGAAUCUUUCAGUGCGGUGUCUCCUGGGAUUUCGCUGGCUCCCCAGCCAUCUGCGGGUCAAUGAGAGACAACCGGUAGCAUCUGGCAGACAUAGUCGCAGGAGGAAAGAGAAAGGGACAAUCACAUGUACCAAUACAGCAAUGUGGAUCCUGCAGGAAGACUAAUUAAAGCGAUGUGGAAAAAGAAGAAUACACCAAAGUGGCAUGAACUAUACACUGACUGCUUUUUCUUGGGUAAUGUUGCACUGAAGUGAACUACAAGCCUCUGUGUAUCCUUCUCACAGAUGCACUGAUGCGAGGGGAUGGGAUGAAAGUCAGAUUUCAUAAAGUUUUUUCAGGCAUCAAAUCAGCAAAAAGGUAGAGUGAAGAGCAUGCUGAAAGGCAAAUAGGACAUAAUAAAUGGAGAAAGGAGGCAAAAACUUGGCUUUGAGGGAUGAAAUGCUGCAGAGGAUUAGUCUGCAAAUAAAGAUUUUGUAGGGCUUCAGGUUUAUGCCUUAAAUGGGAGAAUAAGAAUCUGUGUAUUCAGCUUCAUGCCCAACCUUCCAAGAGGUUCAAGAGCUGCAGUGAUAACCAAUGAUCUAAAUCCACUUCUAGGCUGAAAAGAGUCCAAGUUACAACUAGACUAUCACAACUGGCCUACUUGGUACACUUGACAGCAGUCUCAGUGGAGAGACUAAGGAGCAGAUGGGAGUACAGCCUGAUACAUCACUCUGUGGACAGUCUUUUCAGAACAAAAUCAUAUGUUUUGGAGAAUACAAGUUGCAUUCACUGCAUACUUCAGACUUCUGGAUGUUGCAGACUAGCAAAUUUCAUCAUUCCCUGUACAGAAGUCUAUCUUUACUAAUUGGGUUUGGCUAAAAUUCCAGAAGGCUUGAUAGCAGUGUUUCUUUAAGAGCUCCUCCUUCUCCCUCUGUACUUCUUU
ensembl:lncRNA